rnacentral:rRNA from 1 species
AGAGUUUGAUCCUGGCUCAGGAUGAACGCUAGCGGCGUGGAUAAGGCAUGCAAGUCAAGGGAUCCGCCUUCGGGCGGGGACCGGCGAACGGGUUAGUAACACGUAGAUACAUACCAUCUACACAGGCAUAACUCAUCGAAAGAUGGGCUAAUUCCUGAUAGUUCCGCCUUCGGGCAGAUAAAGGUUUCGAGCAAUCGAUUCCGGUGGAUGAAUGGUCUGCGGCUUAUCAGCUUGUUGGUGAGGUAAUGGCUCACCAAGGCGAUGACGGGUAGGGGAUAUGAGAGUGUGGUCCCCAACAAGGGCACUGCGACACGGGCCCUACUCCUACGGGAGGCAGCAGUCGAGAAUAUUUCGCAAUGGGCGAAAGCCUGACGAAGCGACGCCGCGUGCUCGAAGAAGCCCUUCGGGGUGUAAAGAGCUUUUCUGGAGAAAGAACCUUCGGGUGACGGUACUCCAGGAAUAAAGAGAUGCUAAUCACGUGCCAGCAGCAGCGGUAAUACGUGAUCUCUAAGCGUUAUCCGGAUUUAUUGGGCGUAAAGCGUCCGUAGGCGCCCCAUCAGGUUUUCUGUUAAAUCUCUUUGGCUUAACCUUAGAGCUGCAGAAAAAACCGAUGAGGUAGAGGGCAUUAGGGGCUGAUGGAACGGUCGGUGUAGGGGUGAAAUCCGUUGAUAUCGACCGGAACACCGAAAGCGAAGGCAUUCAGCUGGGGUGGCCCUGACGCUGAGGGACGAAAGCGUGGGUAGCGAACGAGAUUAGAUACCUCGGUAGUCCACGCCGUAAACGAUGGAUACUGGCUAUUUGAAGUGUCGACCCUUCAAGUGGCGAAGCUAACGCGUUAAGUAUCCCGCCUGGGAAGUACGGCCGCAAGGCUAAAACUCAAA